GAGGACAUCUAUCUUCUGUUGAGUAUCAGAAGCAAAGCAGCUCCCUUAGAUCUCAGCCUAGGAGUAGAGCAGUGUGGAGUUAGGCUUCCUACAAAUGGACUACUUGUCUUCCAGAUCAUCUUACCUCCUCCCCUUACAUCUCCCCCAGAAAAUAGGAAAAGGUUUCCCUAAUGACCCCAUCAUUUUAUGCUUUUCCGGAGGAGGGUGAGUGGGGAGGCCAGGAACCACAGUGGCCUUGGACACUCUCCAAUGACCUGGCAUCCUGGUCAUUUUUUGGCCUCCAUGCUACAUUACUUUCCCCUCUUUAGAUCUUGACAGAUGUUUCUGAGUGUGGAAAUUUACAUUGUCCCCAGGAUUCAAGGCUAACCUUGGACCUGAAAUCCCUGCCGUGAAACUCAUAUAACAUCCCAAGCAGAGUCUCCCAUCUGACCUACCAACACCUGGCUGGAGCCCUGCCCUGAGAAAAAAGGCAGAAGGGCUAGACAAUGGGGAUCAAGUGACCUGAGGAUGGAAAUUUACAUUGUCCCCAGGAUUCAAGGCUAACCUUGGACCUGAAAUCCCUGCAGUGAAACUCGAGUCUCCCAUCUGACCUACCAACACCUGGCUGGAGCCCUGCCCUGAGAAAAAAACCCAGUGCUCUAUCCACGCCGAAGAUGUGACUCUAGAGUGAGCUCUGGGGACAGUAUCCCUAGGAGAAUGCACCUCAGGAGAUGACUCUCCAAAGAACAACAGAACCCAGGAAUGUUUUAUAUCCUUUGGGGAACUCGGAGCAUCAAACCUACACUGACAGCUUGUCAGCAGGCUUGGGAAAGAGGCAGUAGCCAGAGACUGGGGUAUCAGGGAGUGGUCUGCUACAAUGGAUACUAAAAGGAUGGUUCCUGCACAGUGUCUCUGAGGGACAAACCAGAACUUUGAGGAACAACCAUAAUUAAGGGGCAGGACCUAGGAUAUUGAUUCAACAAAAAGAAGGGAAGUGUUUAGAAGAUAGGAGGAAAACCAGGAGAUAGUAGUAUCAUAAAAACUAAAGAAGAGAGAAUAUCCAGCAGGAAGAGGAUGUCAGAUGGUGCAGAGAUGUUAAAAAAAAAAUGAAAACUAAGAACAGUUGUUGGCUUGAUACAAAAUAAAAAUCUUCUAACAAUUGUUAUGGUUGUUGAGUCUUUUCAGUCAUGUCCCACUCUUCAUGACCCCAUUUUGGGUUUCCAUGGCAAAGAUACUGAAGUGGUUUGCCAUUUCCUUCUUCAGCACAUUUGAUAGAUGAGGAAAAUGAGGAAAACAGGAUUGAGUGACUUGCCUGGCGUUACACAGCUAAUAAGUAUCUGAGGCCAGAUUUGAAAAUGAGUCUUCCUGACUCCAGGCAUGGCAUUCUGUGCCACCUAGCUGCCUGUUUCUAACAAUUAGACUUAUUCAAAAGUGGAAAGAACCACCUUCCAAGGUAACAGAAUCCUUAUCAUUAAAGGUCUUUAAAUGGAAGCUGAAUAUCUAUUUGUCAAAUAUGGAUUGGACAAGAUGACUUCUGAGGUUCCUUCCAAGUCUGAGAUUGUGGGAUUCAAAGAUGUGUGUUUAAAGAUUCAGGUCUACUGGAACAACCUCCAGGAAGUGAUGCAGAGCGAAAGGAGCAGAACCAGGAAAACAUUGUACACAGAGACUGAUACAUUGUGGUACAAUCUAAGGUGAUGGACUUCUCCAUUAGUAUCAAUGCAAUGUCCCUGAACAAUCUGCAGGGAUCUAAAAAAUACUACCCACAAGCAGAGGAUAAACUGUGGGAGUAAAAACACCAAUGAAAAGCAACUGCUUGACUACAGGGUUGGAGGAGAUAAGACUGAGGAGAGACUCUAAAUAAACACUAUAAUGCAAAUUCCAACAACAGGGAAAUGGGUUCGAGUCAAGAACACAUGUGAUAACCAGUGGAAUCAUGCGUUGGCUAUGGGAGAGGGAAAGGUGGGGGGGAGGGGAGGAAAAGAAAAUGAUCUUUGUUUCCAGUGAAUAAUGUAUGAAAA